GAUGAACGCUGGCGGCGUGCCUAAUACAUGCAAGUCGAGCGAACGGACGAGAAGCUUGCUUCUCUGAUGUUAGCGGCGGACGGGUGAGUAACACGUGGAUAACCUACCUAUAAGACUGGGAUAACUUCGGGAAACCGGAGCUAAUACCGGAUAAUAUUUUUAACCGCAUGGUUCAAAAGUGAAAGACGGUUUUGCUGUCACUUAUAGAUGGAUCCGCGCUGCAUUAGCUAGUUGGUAAGGUAACGGCUUACCAAGUCAACGAUGCAUAGCCGACCUGAGAGGGUGAUCGGCCACACUGGAACUGAGACGCGGUCCAGACUCCUACGGGACGCAGCAGUAGGGAAUCGUCCGCAAUGGGCGAAAGCCUGACGGAGCAACGCCGCGUGAGUGAUGAAGGUCUGCGGAUCGUAAAACUCUGUUAUUAGGGAAGAACAUAUGUGUAAGUAACUGUGCACCUCUUGACGGUACCUAAUCAGAAAGCCACGGCUAACUACGUG
rnacentral:rRNA from 1 species